GCUCCCGCCACAGCAGUCUUCAGCACGGUCAGAGCUAGCGUCGUUGCAGGGAGGGGGGGAAACCCCGUCGUCUCCCGUUAAUGACGCGUUUGCCUUUGAUCCGUGAAGAUUCUUCCUGCAGACUCACAACACACACAGCUCGUGGAUUUCUGUAUUUCUCUCUGUUGAUUCAGAGGCAGGACGUAAAGAAGAACCAGAACCUACGUAGUCUCUCCUGCUCCGUCAUUCCCAACCAGAACACAACGCAGACGCAACAUACACACGGAUUACAAACACAUGGGUUACAAACACACUGGUUGUCAAAAUAUUCCUGCAUCCUUGAUUUAUUUUCUGUAAAAAUCACAAUAAACAUAAGAUUUACAUUUUA